rnacentral:rRNA from 1 species
GAUGAACGCUGGCGGCGUGCCUAAUACAUGCAAGUCGAGCGAACAGACGAGGAGCUUGCUCCUCUGACGUUAGCGGCGGACGGGUGAGUAACACGUGGAUAACCUACCUAUAAGACUGGGAUAACUUCGGGAAACCGGAGCUAAUGCCGGAUAAUAUAUUGAACCGCAUGGUUCAAUAGUGAAAGACGGUUUUGCUGUCACUUAUAGAUGGAUCCGCGCCGCAUUAGCUAGUUGGUAAGGUAACGGCUUACCAAGGCAACGAUGCGUAGCCGACCUGAGAGGAUGAUCGGCCACACUGGAACUGAGACACGGUCCAGACUCCUACGGGAGGCAGCAGUAGGGAAUCUUCCGCAAUGGGCGAAAGCCUGACGGAGCAACGCCGCGUGAAUGAUGAAGGUCUUCGGAUCGUAAAACUCUGUUAUUAGGGAAGAACAAAUGUGUAAGUAACUAUGCACGUCUUGACGGUACCUAAUCAGAAAGCCACGGCUAACUACGUG